rnacentral:rRNA from 1 species
GAUGAACGCUGGCGGCGUGCCUAACACAUGCAAGUCGAACGGGUUAUAACGAAACGCUUGCGUAUUGUUAUAACUAGUGGCGGACGGGUGAGUAACGCGUGGGUAAUCUGCCCUCUGGCGGGGAAUAACUGUGAGAAAUCACAGCUAAUACCGCAUGAGCCUCCGGUAUCGCAUGGUAGUGGAGGGAAAGAUGUAUCACCAGAGGAGGAGUCCGCGUCUGAUUAGCUAGUUGGUGGGGUAAGAGCCCACCAAGGCGACGAUCAGUAGCCGGCCUGAGAGGGUGAACGGCCACAUUGGGACUGAGACACGGCCCAAACUCCUACGGGAGGCAGCAGUGGGGAAUAUUGCACAAUGGGGGGAACCCUGAUGCAGCAACGCCGCGUGAAGGAAGAAGGGUUUCGGCUCGUAAACUUCUAUCGACAGGGAAGAAGAAUGACGGUACCUGAAUAAGAAGCCCCGGCUAACUACGUGCCAGCAGCCGCAGUAACAC